GUGAUCGGCAUAAGUUGAGAGGAGAGUGCGGAACUAACGCGGUCGCUGUGGGAACCGUAACAGCUGGAGUGGAACCAAUGGCAGUUAACGGCGGCCAGCGCGAGACUGACUGAUGGUGACAGUUGGAAACAACAGUCAAGCGAAUAGGUGCCCGAGGACUGGAGGGCGGCUAAUGUUGUACCAUUAUUUAAGAAGGGCUACAAGGAAAAGCCAGGGAACUUGUAGUGAUUGGAACGAAGGCCAGGUGGAUCUCAUUGAUAAUGAGAGACUUGAUUGGAGCUGUUAACCUGGGCUAAUCAGGGAACCCUGGCUGACAGAUAUAAAUAUGGGAUUCAGAGUCUCCUCACUUCAGGGACUGACUCCAAGCUAGCUGGCCACAGCUAGUGUAUCGUGUACAUGAGAAUAAAGAAUGACUUGGUGAUGAGAUACCAGCUUCUGUGCAGUUAAUUUGGAAGCAAUGAGAGAAAACAGUACAUUCCUGAAGAAAUUUCAUUCGCAACAGUCGUCUUUGAGUUGGGGGUCACCUGAACUUUAGAGAUUCCUGCUGAAAGCACAAACCUCAGAGGAGGACCUUUCCUCUGAGGAUGCAGUGAAAGGCACUCCACUUUUUAGAGACACCAGCUUUAACUUUGGCAUUUCCUAUAGGCUAGUUAGUGAAUUAGAGAUCUAUACAUGGUGAAGCUCUCAGAGGCAGCAGAGGACCUCAUCUGAUGCAAUUCUAAAGAAACUGGAGUGGUCUCUUUGCUCAUCCUAGAGUAACUUGCCACUGUCAUUGUGGGCACAAGGGAAGCAUCCUGAUGAAGCUGAACUGCAUGUGACCCACUUCCUGAAGGGCAGCUUUGUUGAAAGCCAAAUGAACGUCUCUAUCAACAGUGGCAGAGCAUAGAAUGCUCAUGCAACUAUCUUCAACAGGAAAAACUAAAUGGGUGAUUAUUUUAGGCUUUCCACUGAGAUCUCUGCCAUCACAGAAACCAGUAUUGAGACAAUUCAAUUCAUUUCACACUCCAUCAAGAAAUGGGCAAAGUAAUCUGGGUGUGAAGGUCUAUGCUGUACAACUAUCUGUGGCUCAAGCCAAUCUGUUCCAACAUAGCUUCAAUCCCAUUACCUGCCAAACAAUCUGGAGAAUUGCUUAAGUAUGUUCUGCCAAUAAAAGAAUGACAUACAA